UGCAGUCGAACGAGACCUUCGGGUCUAGUGGCGCACGGGUGAGUAACGCGUGGAAACCUGCCAUUCUGUACGGAAUAACGAUUGGAAACGAUCGCUAAUACCGUAUACGCCCUGUGGGGGAAAGGUCCGCCGCAGAAUGAGGGGUCCGCGUCCGAUUAGCUUGUUGGUGGGGUAAAAGCCUACCAAGGCGAUGAUCGGUAGCUGGUCUGAGAGGAUGAUCAGCCACACUGGGACUGAGACACGGCCCAGACUCCUACGGGAGGCAGCAGUGGGGAAUAUUGGACAAUGGGGGCAACCCUGAUCCAGCAAUGCCGCGUGUGUGAAGAAGGCCUUAGGGUUGUAAAGCACUUUCAAUGGUGAAGAUGAUGACGGUAGCCGUAGAAGAAGCCCCGGCUAACUUCGUGCCAGCAGCCGCGGUAAUACGAAGGGGGCGAGCGUUGUUCGGAAUUACUGGGCGUAAAGGGCGCGCAGGCGGCCAAUCCAGUCAGGUGUGAAAGCCCCGGGCUUAACCUGGGAACUGCACU
rnacentral:rRNA from 1 species